rnacentral:tRNA from 1 species
AAAUAAGAAGCAAAACUUGCGUUUAGUUUCGACCUAAAAAUAUGAUUUCGAAAUCCUUAUUUU